GUCAACAAUCACAUAAAAUAUUCAUGACAGUCUUAAAUGAUUAGAAAAACCAGGAGACUGCAAAGAUUAGAGAUGGAAAAGACUAUCACGGUCCUGACAAAGGGCUGCUCUUUAACAUUCUUCUUGAGUGCUCUUUUGUCCACCACUGUCGCAGGGUCCUCUGUGGUGCAUGUUUAUAAACCACGAGACAGUCACUUCUUAACCUUCCUUUGGAUAAAGUUAGCAAAGUUGAACUUCACAUCUCUGGCGUUGCUAAUCAGAUUAUACAUUGGGACUGAAUUCAGCAUGCAACAGAUGUAA
rnacentral:lncRNA from 1 species